rfam:Dipodomys ordii contig_22515, whole genome shotgun sequence.
GGGGAGUUGGCUCAGUGGUAGAGCGCUUGCCUGGCAUGCAUGAGGCCCUGGUUCGCUUCCUCAGCACCACA